rnacentral:lncRNA from 1 species
UCUCUCUCUCCCAAACCUCUUCUGAAAUUCAGAUCCAUUUGAGCAAAUAAUUGAUCAUUGGAUUUCCAAACAAAUGGCUCCACUCCAACACUCUGUUUCCAACAAGGUACUCUUGCUCUAUCUAAUCUUGCUCCUUUUCAUCACUUCUUCACUCAUUUCAGCCCAACCACGAAGAUUCUUGUCUGAAGAUGAUCAAGAUUUCCCGCUCAUCAAGAAGAAAUCCAAUUCCACCACCAAAAACCAAACUAAACUCAUCAAACCUACCACUACUUCAACUUCUUCUUCAUCCAAGAACCAAACCAAACUCAUUAAACCUACUUCACUCUCAUCCAAAGUGAUCACCAAACUCCCAUUUGAUUCACCCAAGAACAAAACCAAACUCAUCAAAGCCACCUCAUCAUC